UAAUCUACCCCAGAGUCUGGAAUAACCUGCCGAAAGGCGGGCUAAUACUGGAUAGAGCGACGGAAUCCGUAAUUGGGUUUUUCGGAAAGGGAGGAAGCAAUUCCCUUCGCUCUGGGAUGAGCCUGCGUCUCAUUAGCUAGUUGGUGGGGUAACGGCCUACCAAGGCAUUGAUGGGUAGCUGGUCUGAGAGGAUGAUCAGCCACACUGGAACUGAAACACGGUCCAG
rnacentral:rRNA from 1 species